rnacentral:rRNA from 1 species
AUCCUGGCUCAGGAUGAACGCUAGCGGCAGGCUUAACACAUGCAAGUCGAGGGUAUAGUUCUUCGGAAUUAGAGACCGGCGCACGGGUGCGUAACGCGUAUGCAAUCUACCUUUCACAGAGGGAUAGCCCAGAGAAAUUUGGAUUAAUACCUCAUAGUAUAGCAGUUUCGCAUGAAACCACUAUUAAAGUCACAACGGUGAAAGAUGAGCAUGCGUCCCAUUAGCUAGUUGGUAAGGUAACGGCUUACCAAGGCAACGAUGGGUAGGGGUCCUGAGAGGGAGAUCCCCCACACUGGUACUGAGACACGGACCAGACUCCUACGGGAGGCAGCAGUGAGGAAUAUUGGACAAUGGGCGCAAGCCUGAUCCAGCCAUGCCGCGUGCAGGAUGACGGUCCUAUGGAUUGUAAACUGCUUUUGUACAGGAAGAAACACUACUUCGUGAAGUAGCUUGACGGUACUGUAAGAAUAAGGAUCGGCUAACUCCGUG